GUUGCAAGUUGAUGAAGGAGCCGUGACUUCCCCUAUCGAUGCGCAGAACUGCCAACAUUUGGUAUCCAGUAUCUGGCUCCAAGUCGCGGUGGCAGCAGGCAAAGCUAAGUGGCCCAGAUGCUCUUCUUCCCCAGCUGAAUCCUCCAGCUCUUCCUGGGGAUCUGAGGUGUUUCCAGGCCACACGAGAUAAGCAUUUUAUACAUACAGACUCAUGAGGAACUAUCUGCAGAGACAAGAAGAACGGGGAGUCCUACAGCAGAUGGUGUGGCCCCCACAGAGCCCUGAUCUCAACAUCAUGGAGACAAUCUGGGAUCACAUGAAGAGACAGAAGACACUGAGAACUGGAGCUGUCUGAAAGGCAAAUAUUGGGUAUUUAAGUUUUUUUCUGUUUACUGCACUUUUGUAUGAAGUUAUUUGGUAAAUAAAAACUAUUCAUGACAUCCUU